rnacentral:lncRNA from 1 species
CGGAGGGGUCCCGACGGUAUCAGGAUGUCCUGGGAUGUCCCGGGAGGAUAUUCCGGGGGAUCCCGGGGCUAUAGGGGUGUCCUGGGAUGUCUCGGGGAGGGAUUCCGGGGGAUCCCGGCGCUAUGGGAAUGUCCCGGGAUGUCCCGGGGGUCCCCGGCGCUAUGGGAAUGUCCCGGGAUGUCCCGGGACACCGGAGCGAUGGAAAUCCCCGUCCGCUCUCUGGCGGCAGAGCAGCGGAACGGCAGCGCCGCAGCAUCCCCGGCAUGGAAAAUCCCGUGCGGAGAGGCGGAGGCACGGACAGAGGGAAAGAGCUCCGAAAGGGACCGAAAGGCACCGAGGUGGGGCUGCUCGGCUCCUCGCCCCUGCUCUGCGCGAACAGCUGGAAAGCCAAGAGAUCUUGGGGAGAACCAGCAAGAUGCUCCAGAUGCUGAUCUCUUUCUGAUGAUGUCGCUGCUUCGGGAGGUGAGGGAGCGAGAGGCAGAAGAGGAGCAGCACCGCUGUGCUGUGGGAAAGGAUUGUUCUCACCCACCUGUCCCCUCCUCAGAGCGAUCUGUGCUCGGUGGAAGUAAAAAAACUCCCAAACACCGGCGGUUUUCCCGAGGUUUGCCGUGAGCGGGCGGCGAGUGCUGCGGGAUGCCGGGAGGCGGCGCUGGCGCCGCGCCGGGAGCCGGGAACGGGCUGGGAAUGGGCUGGGAAUGGGCUGGAACGGGGCUGGAACGGGGCUGGAACGGGGCUGGAAUGGGGCUGGGAACGGGGCUGGAACAGGGCUGGGAACGGGGCUGGAAUGGGGCUGGGAAUGGGGCUGGAACAGGGCUGGGAACGGGGCUGGAACGGGGCUGGAACGGGGCUGGAACGGGGCUGGAACAGGGCUGGGAACGGGGCUGGAAUGGGGCUGGGAAUGGGGCUGGAACAGGGCUGAAACGGGGCUGGAAUGGGGCUGGGAAUGGGCUGGGAAUGGGGCUGGAACAGGGCUGGAACGGGGCUGGAAUGGGGCUGGGAAUGGGCUGGGAAUGGGGCUGGAAUGGGGCUGGGAAUAGGAUGGGAAUGGGAUGGGAACGGGGCUGGAAUAGGAUGGGAAUGGGGCUGGAAACGGGGCUGGAAUGGGAUGGGAAUGGGCUGGGAAUGGGGCUGGGAAUAGGAUGGGAAUGGGGAUGGGAUGGGGCUGGAAUGUAAUUCCGUGGAUGAUCCGCUUUUACACUUUCCUCAAAGGUUUACUUUCCUCAAAGGUUUACAGAAUGAAAUGAAAAUUAGUUUCAAAGACAAGCAUAGAAACAUUUUCUUGGAGAACCGAAGAGUAUCCUGAGAGCGACCUCUGAGCCAUCUCAGCAUCACUGUGAAAGGAUUCUUUGCUGGGCUUUCUCUCUGAGUUUUUAAACAACUGGUUAGCACCUUCUCUGGGAGGAACACAGCCUUGCUAACACAGAAAUCAUUCCUUGGGGUUGGCAAUUUUAUCACAUAAAUACUUCAGAGGACUAUUCAAGCUUCUUCUGAGUUAAUAAAACAAUAGCAACAAGGCUGGGUUAUGUCUGC